CAGCAGUCGCCGCGGUAAUACGUAGGGUGCGAGCGUUGUCCGGAAUUACUGGGCGUAAAGAGCUCGUAGGCGGUUUGUCGCGUCGUCUGUGAAAUUCUGCAGCUUAACUGCAGGCGUGCAGGCGAUACGGGCAGACUUGAGUACUACAGGGGAGACUGGAAUUCCUGGUGUAGCGGUGAAAUGCGCAGAUAUCAGGAGGAACACCGGUGGCGAAGGCGGGUCUCUGGGUAGUAACUGACGCUGAGGAGCGAAAGCGUGGGUAGCGAACAGGAUUAGAUACCCCCGUAGUCCCUGUCUCUUAUAC
rnacentral:rRNA from 1 species